rnacentral:lncRNA from 1 species
GUGGUGAAGACACAGACUGUGAGGAACAGCAGAGACAUAUCAUGCUAGCUUCGUACUCCUGAAUGAUUGUGGAAGCAGCACUAAAGCAACAUACAGAAAAAGAUAAAAAAUGGACUCCUAACAUAAUAACCAUAAUAACCAACAUAAUAAGCCUUGGAUUUUUGAGCAUCUGUGACUAUGUUUACCUCACAGGAGAGACAGACUCCACAGCAUCACCACCGCACAUCUUGAUUCCCAGUAACCUCGAUUAUGGGACUUCCUGGAAAAUGCUGCAACUCCCUCCCAUGCCUAACUUUCCAGGAGAGAUGUGUAUCUGGGUCUUCUCCUGACUGAAGAUGGAGAUGGUGGUAAGUGGUACAUCUGAAGCCAAAGAGUGGGAAUCACGCCCAGGCUCCCCUGGUAGAAACACAGCUUGGCAGACUGUUGACGGCAAUUUUUUCAUCUGUUUGAGAAGAAACUUCUACAAGUAACACGGGCUUAAGGAUUUGCUCCCAUUACUUAUCAAGAAGCACGUGUUUUCAUAACAAUUCAGUUAUGUUUCUGUUGUGCACAUCUCUGUGUAUCUCGGCUUUCCCAAACACAGGCAGGAAGACUAACAAGAUGUUCUUUUGAGUGGUGACGCUGUAAUUUGAACUUGAGAAAUGAAUACUGCUUUUCCCAGGAACACUGGAAGAAAAGCCCUUACAUCCUGUCUAUUACAUAUUAAAUAGUAAGGGAGGAAAGUGCUGAAUAACUUUGAGGGUUGUUGCCUCUGCCACUGCCACCUUUAACUGACUGGUUUCAGUCCUGUUGCCGUUGCUCUCCAUUUCCUCAGCUUGUAGCUCCAUAACACAGCUCCUCUGGCAGUGGUCACUCUGGCUCCCCAUUUCUCGAGCAAACAAAAACUUGCCUUGGCUUUGCAGGUGAGCUAUCAGCAUUCCUUCUCAAUCCAACAUGAGGGCUGGCUUCCUUCCCCAGUCCCUCAAGGACCAAGUGCCAUGCCCAAAUCUAUUUCAGAGCCUUCUUCCAGCGUGUUCUUCAAUUCAAAUAAAAGCCAGCACUGAAUUUUUCUUCGUGAUCUU